CCAUAUUGUUUUCGACAUACUUCUUUAAAUUUUGAGUGAACUCUGCCAUAUUCAAUUCAAUUGAAGGAAUUUCACAAGGAUCUUCAAAGUAAUUGUCCUCUAUGUCAAUUUCUGGUGCUUGUAUUUGCUCUUGCUCAGGUGUGGCAGGAUAGGAAUUUCACAAGGAUCUUCAAAGUAAGUGUCCUCUAUGUCAAUUUCUGGUGCUUGUAUUUGCUCUUGCUCAGGUGUGGCAGGAAGUUCAACAAUGGGCUCUGGUGUUGCUGGCACUUCAAUAAUAGGAGCUGAGUUGAUCAACUUCUGAUGCUCCACUGGUUGUUGAUUACCCGGAGGUAAUGGCAGAGGCAGGUGAGUGAAGUUUUCCCUU
rnacentral:lncRNA from 1 species